AAGCUCAACACCCUCAGGAACCACAUCAGAAUCAAAUUAACAAUGAUCGUUUACACUUACAACAUGCAGAAAAUAAGCAGGGCUUGAUAAGAUGAUGGCUGACUUUUUUUGUAUUUAACUUUAGCUAAAUCCAAUAUCAAAUGGCACAUGCUAAGUACAACACAAUAACUUAUAAGGGGAGGCAAUUUAUCCAAGGAAGUAGAACACUAAAAACUGAAAAAGUUGUCUGAGAAGUUAGAAUUACUACAUCAAGAUGCCUUCAGGACAAUGAUUCAAUAACAAUGAAAGGUAUAUGGAUCUUUCAUCCCUUGUAUAAUGAAUCCAUUGAUGCAAAGUCAAUUUGAAAAUAAUCUUUUGGACUGAUUAACUGCCCCUGCGUGAUAUAAUUCACCACA
rnacentral:misc_RNA from 1 species